rnacentral:lncRNA from 1 species
GGGAAGGUAGAAGGUGGGGUCUGCCGGACGCGUGUUCCUGCCACCAGGUGCCCGCUCCCCGCAAGGCCGGCUCAGGAGCAGAAGGAAGCCCGGUGCCAGCCAGCCUUCAUGAAAGACCAAGCCCGCGCCAUCCGGCUUCCUCCAGUGGACGCCUGCAGGACCCAGGAACACUACAUCAACACUCUUGGCGGGGACCUGGACACAGAAGACUCCUGUUUCAAGAAAAUACAAUCAUCUCUCAAAGGCUGUAAUUUAUAUGCAUUUUAAAACUCUCUAGGCAUUGAAAACUACCCAAGUGUCCCAAAUAGAAGGGUAAUAUAUAAUCAAUCACUCAGUGUAAUAUUAUACAUCCUUUAAAAAUGUUGUUGGGAAAUGUUUUAUGAUCUGUAAGUCCAAGGAAUCCUCUCCCACCAUUUCUUUCUCCCCGCUGUUCCCCCAUACCCACACUUCUUUGUUCCAAUUGGCAUGUAAAUUUGGUUUUCCCGCCAAAUGAGUCAGUCAUGAUGGGAACCUCAACUGAUUUGAACAGAUGUGUGUCAAUGUUACUUGGAAAACUAGAUGUCAAUAACCAGGGUCACAGAAAAAGGCAGUGGUCGCAACUCUGUAAAAAUGUAUGCAUGCACACAGACAAGGACUAAAGUGGAACCCCACACAGGAAAACAGUGGGCUGUACUCCAGUGCUGGGACAUUGAAUGACUGUAUGCUGCUUUUGAUUUCCGUCAAUAUGGGCAACUGUCCAAUUAAAAAAAACUCCUAAGGA